UGACUCAAUCAGUAGAGCAUGGGACUCUUAAUCCCAGGGUCGUGGGUUCAUGCCCCAC
rnacentral:tRNA from 1 species